CUACGGGAGGCAGCAGUGGGGAAUAUUGGACAAUGGGCGCAAGCCUGAUCCAGCCAUGCCGCGUGAGUGAUGAAGGCCUUAGGGUUGUAAAGCUCUUUCACUGGGGAAGAUAAUGACGGUACCCAGAGAAGAAGCCCCGGCUAACUUCGUGCCAGCAGCCGCGGUAAUACGAAGGGGGCUAGCGUUGUUCGGAAUCACUGGGCGUAAAGCGCACGUAGGCGGACUUUUAAGUCAGGGGUGAAAUCCCAAGGCUCAACCUUGGAACUGCCUUUGAUACUGGAAGUCUUGAGUUCGGGAGAGGUGAGUGGAACUGCGAGUGUAGAGGUGAAAUUCGUAGAUAUUCGCAAGAACACCAGUGGCGAAGGCGGCUCACUGGCCCGAUACUGACGCUUGAGGUGCGAAAGCGUGGGGAGCAAACAGGAUUAGAUACCCAGGUAGUCCACGCCGUACACGAUGUGAAGCUAGCCGUUGG
rnacentral:rRNA from 1 species